GGCGGCGUAGCUCAGUUGGUCUAGAGCGUUCGCUUUGCAUGUGAACGGUCCCGCGGUUGAAGCCCCGGCGCCUCCA